ensembl:snRNA U1 U1 spliceosomal RNA
AUACUUACCUGGCAGGGGAGAUACCAUGAUCACGAAGGUGGUUCACCCAGGGCGAGGCUCAGCCAUUGCACUCCGGCUGUGCUGACCCCUGCGAAUUCCCCAAAUGUGGGAAUCUCGACUGCAUAAUUUCUGGUAGUGGGGGACUGCGUUCGCGCUCUCCCCUG